AGCGAUGAAACUUUAACAGAACCCUUCGGGGCGAAGAUAAAGUGGAUUAGCGGCGGACGGGUGAGUAACACGUGAGUAACCUGCCUUAGACAUUGGGAUAGCCUCGGGAAACCGGGAUUAAUACCAAAUAAAAUCAUAAUGACACAUGUCAUAACGAUCAAAACUCCGGUGGUCUAAGAUGGACUCGCGUCCCAUUAGCUAGUUGGUAGAGUAAAAGCCUACCAAGGCGACGAUGGGUAGCCGGCCUGAGAGGGUGAACGGCCACAUUGGAACUGAGAAACGGUCCAAACUCCUACGGGAGGCAGCAGUGGGGAAUAUUGCACAAUGGAGGGAACUCUGAUGCAGCGACGCCGCGUGAACGAAGAAGGCUUUCGAGUCGUAAAGUUCUUUUAUAUGGGAAGAUAAUGACGGUACCAUAAGAAAAAGCCCCGGCUAACUACGUGCCAGCAGCCGCGGUAAUACGUAGGGGGCUAGCGUUGUCCGGAAUCACUGGRCGUAAAGGGUUCGCAGGCGGAAAUGCAAGUCAGAUGUAAAAGGCAGUAGCUUAACUACUGUAAGCAUUUGAAACUGCAUAUCUUGAGAAGAGUAGAGGUAAGUGGAAUUUUUAGUGUAGCGGUGAAAUGCGUAGAU
rnacentral:rRNA from 1 species